rnacentral:rRNA from 1 species
UACAGAGGGGGCAAGCGUUUAUUCGGAAUUAUUGGGCGUAAAGGGCGCGUAGGCGGCUUGGCAAGUGGAUGGUGAAAUCCCUCGGCUUAACCGAGGAACUGCCGUCCAAACUGCUUGGCUUGAGACCAGGAGAGGUGAGUGGAAUUCCCAGUGUAGAGGUGAAAAUUCGUAGAUAUUCGGAAGAACACCAGUGGCGAAGGCGGCUCACUGGACCGGCAUUGACGCUGAGGUGCGAAAAGCGUGGGGAGCAAACAG